rnacentral:rRNA from 2 species
AACUCUGGUAUUGAUUGGUGCUUGCAUCAUGAUUUACAUUUGAGUGAGUGGCGAACUGGUGAGUAACACGUGGGAAACCUGCCCAGAAGCGGGGGAUAACACCUGGAAACAGAUGCUAAUACCGCAUAACAACUUGGACCGCAUGGUCCGAGUUUGAAAGAUGGCUUCGGCUAUCACUUUUGGAUGGUCCCGCGGCGUAUUAGCUAGAUGGUGGGGUAACGGCUCACCAUGGCAAUGAUACGUAGCCGACCUGAGAGGGUAAUCGGCCACAUUGGGACUGAGACACGGCCCAAACUCCUACGGGAGGCAGCAGUAGGGAAUCUUCCACAAUGGACGAAAGUCUGAUGGAGCAACGCCGCGUGAGUGAAGAAGGGUUUCGGCUCGUAAAACUCUGUUGUUAAAGAAGAACAUAUCUGAGAGUAACUGUUCAGGUAUUGACGGUAUUUAACCAGAAAGCCACGGCUAACUACGUGCCAGCAGCCGCGGUAAUACGUAGGUGGCAAGCGUUGUCCGGAUUUAUUGGGCGUAAAGCGAGCGCAGGCGGUUUUUUAAGUCUGAUGUGAAAGCCUUCGGCUCAACCGAAGAAGUGCAUCGGAAACUGGGAAACUUGAGUGCAGAAGAGGACAGUGGAACUCCAUGUGUAGCGGUGAAAUGCGUAGAUAUAUGGAAGAACACCAGUGGCGAAGGCGGCUGUCUGGUCUGUAACUGACGCUGAGGCUCGAAAGUAUGGGUAGCAAACAGGAUUAGAUACCCUGGUAGUCCAUACCGUAAACGAUGAAUGCUAAGUGUUGGAGGGUUUCCGCCCUUCAGUGCUGCAGCUAACGCAUUAAGCAUUCCGCCUGGGGAGUACGGCCGCAAGGCUGAAACUCAAAGGAAUUGACGGGGGCCCGCACAAGCGGUGGAGCAUGUGGUUUAAUUCGAAGCUACGCGAAGAACCUUACCAGGUCUUGACAUACUAUGCAAAUCUAAGAGAUUAGACGUUCCCUUCGGGGACAUGGAUACAGGUGGUGCAUGGGUUGUCGUCAGCUCGUGUCGUGAGAUGUUGGGUUAAGUCCCGCAACGAGCGCAACCCCUUAUUAUCAGUUGCCAGCAUUAAGUUGGGCAC